rnacentral:tmRNA from 1 species
GGGGACGACUUGGCUUCGACGCUGGUUGCGAACCCAAAGGUGCAUGUCGAGAGUGUAGCGGCUCUCGUACUCCAAUCGCUACAAAAAAUAGUCGCAAACGACGAAAACUACGCUCUAGCAGCUUAAACCCUGCUAGCGUCCAGCCCAAGAUGCUUGUAUCGCGGCGCUGGAUGUCACUUAGAACAAGCUAGCUUGUUUGCAUGGUUCCGUGCAAAUCUGCGAAACUAAAUGGAACUCGCCUUAAGCGCCCUGCCCCUCGGGCCGCCAAAGGUUAACUCAAUAGAGGGUUUCUAAACAUGUAGAGCCGAUGGCAGAGGGCUGGCGGACGCGGGUUCGAUUAACGUA